UCCAACAAACUUGUUUUUAGCAUUGUUUUUCCUCUUCAACAUCCACUAUGACGAUCACGUCGCCCAUCCCAACAAUCAGCAACAAAACAUCCAGAGAAAAGGAAGGGAAGAAGACCUAGCGAGCGUACCUUGGCGUUUGGCGACGACGGCGCCCUCCACCUCUCGGAUGCAACAUCCGACGCGGCGCUCCUCCCUCAGGCAGAGCACAACCAUGGCGCGGCGCGCAGCCCUCCCUCGGAUACGACCCGAGGGCCGGUUACACAUGAACGCUCAUGGCGUUGCCACGGCCUUCGGCCCCAACGCGCAGGUGUAUCCAACCCAGGGACGACGGCCCCCAUCACGGAGCGUGCGGUGGCCCUUGACCCCGUCGCUUCUUCCCCUGGCGCGGCGGCCUUCGGCUCCGACGCCACUUCUCUUGAUGCAGCGACGGCGCGGCAGUCACCGGCGGCGGCCAACAUCUGUCCCACGGCAUGUCUGAACGCAUUGCAAUCACUAAUCGGCUGCACUGGACGGCUGCAUAAUUGUUCUUCAUGGCCAGAGCGCUACUACAGGAAGGAUCGAUGGAUCCAAUCCAAGCACACACUGGAAGGAAAUUGAUUCCUAUCCACACACGUACGGGAUAAGGAUUUGGGCAAACCUUAUCCUUACGCGGUUUUGCAUUUUCGUCCUUCCUGUAUUUAUUAUUAAUAGG
rnacentral:lncRNA from 1 species